CAGUCGCCGCGGUAAUACGGAGGGUGCAAGCGUUAAUCGGAAUUACUGGGCGUAAAGCGCACGCAGGCGGUUUGUUAAGUCAGAUGUGAAAUCCCCGAGCUUAACUUGGGAACUGCAUUUGAAACUGGCAAGCUAGAGUCUUGUAGAGGGGGGUAGAAUUCCAGGUGUAGCGGUGAAAUACGUAGAGAUCUGGAGGAAUACCGGUGGCGAAGGCGGCCCCCUGGACAAAGACUGACGCUCAGGUGCGAAAGCGUGGGGAGCAAACAGGAUUAGAUACCCCUGUAGUCCCUGUCUCUUAUAC
rnacentral:rRNA from 1 species